UUCGGCGCCAAACAACGUACUGAAAACGAUGAAAAAAGUUCUCAUUUGUUCUUUCUUAGUGGCAUUAGUCUUUGCCACAGCACAUGGUUUAAUGUGCUACACGUGUGACUCUGACGAUGACCCCGGUUGUUUUUCUCAACCAGAAGAUCAACGGGCUUUCCUCUGUCGGAUUAUGAACGUGGGCUCAGAGAGUUUCAGAUGCAUCACAAUAACGGCUACAAAAGGAGACAAAACCGUGGCUCUCCGCAGGUGUGGAAUUGAAAAUGAGUGCGAACUUGUUCUCGACAGCAACAAUGCCCUCGAUUGGGGUGGAGAAAUUUUCCCUGAUGCUCAGUGUUCAAUUUGUGCAUCGGAUUAUUGCAAUAAUAAUGUGGGCAACAAAAUAUCACUUUUUUAAAAUUUCUUUGUAAAAGUUUUUAAAGUUUUUUUUUGAAUAAAAUUUUCAACAGAAC